UACGGAGGUGGCAAGCGUUGCUCGGAAUCACUGGGCGUAAAGGGCGCGUAGGCGGGGAGGUAAGUCGGGUGUGAAAUCCCUCGGCCCAACCGAGGAACUGCGCCCGAGACUGCUUCUCUUGAGUCCCGGAGAGGAAGGUGGAAUUCCCGGUGUAGCGGUGAAAUGUGUAGAGAUCGGGAGGAACACCGGUGGCGAAGGCGGCGACCUGGGCCAAUAUUGACGCUGAGGUGCGAAAGCGUGGGGAGCAAACAGG
rnacentral:rRNA from 1 species